ACUACUGUACUUUCAGGGAUCAUUUCUGUAGUAUAUUUACUCAAGCGCUUCUGAUCAUGUAGGUACUAGCCUGGGAAGAACUGGU
ensembl:snoRNA U3 Small nucleolar RNA U3